UAGUGUCGUAAAAUCAAAGUGUUCAUACAAAUGCAAUUUGUUACAUUAUUAACAUUAAUCUUCAGUAUUCGUUACUGAUUUGUUAUUUAGAUCUCUAAACAGGACCACUCUAGUCCAUCACUGCGGAGUAGGAGUUUAAGAAAGUUGUGUUCACAAUUCAUUUGGAGUUGUUCAUUUUUUGUUUUUAUUAAGCUGUUGAUUCAUUGCUCUCAGAACAGUUCAGGUGGGAGGUCCUUUUUAAAAGGAAAAGAUGUCUGUGUGCCAACAGCCUGCACACUUACUCCUGACACUUUAUUGGCUCUCCUUGCCAUCUCCUCCAGUGGUAUUGUGGGAUGAUAAGCCAUGUAAAAUGCCAAUGCUCCAAUGAAGCUGUCUCCAGCACCCUGGGAAAAAAUAUGACAACAGCUUUGUAGAAUUUAGCAGGAUGAUAAAAUCUGGAAAGGCUGCAAAGACAAGUGUUAAUGAGACACAUACUGAUUACAUCUAAAGUCUUAUGGUAUCAAUGCAAAUGUGGACAUGUAACAGACAUAAAAAAAAAAAAAAAAAAAAAAAGCCACCAAGAUGAAGACCCACGGUGAUCUAAGGGGAGGGAAUGCUCCAUUUUCAGGACAAUAAAAUGUCAACAGUAGAGGGUGCUGUGGCAUUUGUCAGUUGUUUGUAUUGCUGCUGGAAAUCUCAAGUAGUUGAAAAACACUCACUGCAAUGUCUUUUUGAACGACUUAGACGUCUCAGCUCCUUCACAGUAACAUCUGUAUCACAGCUAUUCUGUAUGAUGACAUGAUUAUUGCCAUAAAAAGUACAUGUAGUACAUUCAUUAAAUACCUGUUUAGUAUCAUGGUGGGUAUAUAGUGCUGUUUUCUUCAACUAAAACUAAGAGAAAAGUAAUUGAAAUGCACUUCCAGAGAUGAAUGAUAGAACAAAAAACUUUCUGCUUCUUGUCCAAACACAACUAUGCAAUCAUCUAAAAUCCCUUAGUUUACUUAAGAGCUUUCAGAGUCAGCUGGGUAGCACAUGGCAGCUUAGAUCAUCAGCCGUUAGUGGCCUUUGCCAUAACUGCCAACAGUUUGACUUUGGUUUUCUCCAUGACCAGAUAAAUCAUCCCUUUUCUCUGCUCAUCUAUUGAUAGAGAUGGAAUGUACAGUCUACGCCCUGGAGGGGGUUGGCUGAGACAGGAUGCCGAGGGAGUGUGUGCGUGUGUGCAUGUGGGGGGGUAUCACUGAUGGGAAAAGGCACAAUGGUAUGUGGCGACACGCUCAUGUUUAACCACAAACGGCCCCCCGACGCUGGUUCUCACAAGCCCGCUCCAUUACUCAUCACUUCGGCUCUCAAUAGAGUUCAUUGCACUCUCUUGUGAGCACCUCUGUAACCCCCUCCCCCUGAGCCUUGGAGUAUGACUUUUGUCAAACUUUUGCCAAUCAAGAAGCAGACAGUGAAGCUUAAAUGAUUCACUCAGGUUAAAAAACACAGACCCUGACCCUGACCUCAGUCAGGCUCAUUGGACCACUGCUUGAGAGCAACAGGAACAAAGAAAUAAGGGGGAUAAGAGGGUCAAACAGGGUCCAUUAUGACCAAGGUACAUGAGACCUCUGAUAAUAUUUCUGCAAAACAUAGUCUAAUUUUUAACAUUUAUUGAUUGCCAAGAUGAUAGAUACCAGAAGUACGGUAUAUAAGGGAAAUGGGUUCUGAUUUGACAUUUAUAAACAGGAUUAUUACACCCCACCCCCAUCCUUAUGCACGCCAAUGGUGUGAGUCUUGGAUUGGGGAGAUGCUGGAAAGAGUGAGAUCAGAGCUGAACCAUUUUACAGGCCUGGUGGAUUUCCAUGUUUAAACCCACGGUGUGUUUAUGUCUCCUGUCUGGUAGCUGGGCUAGUCCUCCAUACAGUGAGCAUUUGGAAAUAAGGUAGUGGCGUUGCAGUCCCACUGUUUUGGCUCCGACACAUCUCCCAGUUCACAUGUUGUGGUUACAACGAUGACACCACUCUUAAGUGGGCGUUGAUACUCCCACUUAAGAGUGCACUGAGUAGGUCAGUUUAAAAAUAAAGUAUAUAAUAUAUCUGCCUCCAUGAGUAAAUGAUUAUGAUUUCUGUCUCGUACAUGCUGCUUCAUGUUUCCAUCAGAAACAUGACAACAUCUCAUAAACAAAUUGGUUUUUGUUCAGAGGUAAUUUAGAGCUAAAUCCCUGUAAAACCAACCCCUUUGUCUCGUCAGACGACAAUAGGGUGUGUCUGAACCAGAUUUGUGAAAACUAAUACUACUAUUAAGGGCUUUACUUGUAGAUUGUCUUUUAUGCUGACAGUUAAACCUGAAAUAUGUAAGAAAUUUACAGUAUUUCUUUAAGGGUGUAAGAAUGAAUGAGAGCAUAUAUAUGAGACCUUUAUAUAUUCAUACAAGUUUAAAAAAUGCCUAAGUUUACCCUUGGGAUGAAAACCGUGAUUGCUAUCGCUAUAAAAUUCCUCCCUGGUCAGGAGCUCUUUAAAUAACAUGGCUUUAAAUCAGUGGAGAACCACAUCAGUGCUUCAGUUUGGCCUUAUACAAUAGAUGCAUUUUCCACUGUGCACUGGUACAUAUUAACCAAACUUCCUCUUUUACAGUAAGUGACAAAGGGUAGAAAUGUUUUUUGUGUGUGUAUGUGUGGCAAAAUAAUUAAAUUUCUUCUGCUAAAAGCCCCCUAAGAAGGAAAAUCUGUGCUAAACACUGGACUUGAAAACAGUUGAAAUGUCUGUAAGGACUGACUGCAUGGGGAAACUCUGUGUAAACAAAUGUAAGUACUGGCAACAACUCA